rnacentral:lncRNA from 1 species
GCCAAAGCGACAGAAAAUAGCACCAUCUUCUCCACCUCAUGCAGUACCCCAGAUCCAAGCAACAUCCUCUUCUCCGCCUCAUCCAGCACCUAGACGCAAGCAGACCUAGCCGAUGUAUCUGAGCAGGUCACCGAUCCAGUUGACCUAGACACUUCAUCGGUCAUUCCUCCUGAGUAGACGAUCGUCAUCCCUCCUCAAGGUAAAGUACCGAUCAUAAAAUUAUUACUGAUGGCCCUUUCAUAAAUACCAUCAUCACCUUUAGUAGUUUCAGUUGAAGAUAUUCCAUCGGCAGCCCCAGCCGAUUGUCAUAGUACAAGCCACAUCUCCAAGUCAGAGACAAUAAAUUGCUCUGAAACAAGUAAGCUUAUCCAAUCCACUUGACUUUGUAUUAUCGAUACUUAACUCUGGUUAAUUCAUUUUCCUCUGCUACCAGGAACAACACUCUCCUGAUAGCCUGUUCUACAUUACUGUAACACCCCCGAAAACCACAAAUACACCGGGAUC